GACGAACGUUGGCGGUGCGCUUAAUGCAUGCAAGUCGAGGGAGAACCACGAGAUCCGUAAGGUGAUCGUGGGGAAACCGGCGAACGGGUGCGUAACACGUGAGAAACCUGCCCCCCAGACCGGGACAGCCCAGGGAAACCUGGAUUAAUACCGGAUAUUCUCUUUGGAUCGCAUGAUCCUUUGAGGAAAUGGUCCGCUGCUGGGGGAUGGUCUCGCGGCCUAUCAGGUAGUUGGUGAGGUAACGGCUCACCAAGCCGAAGACGGGUAGCUGGUCUGAGAGGACGAUCAGCCACACUGGAACUGAGACACGGUCCAGACUCCUACGGGAGGCAGCAGCAGGGAAUAUUGCACAAUGGGCGAAAGCCUGAUGCAGCGACACCGCGUGCGGGAUGAAGGC
rnacentral:rRNA from 1 species